UACGAAGGGGGCUAGCGUUGCUCGGAAUCACUGGGCGUAAAGCGCACGUAGGCGGCUUACUAAGUCAGGGGUGAAAUCCUGGAGCUCAACUCCAGAACUGCCUUUGAUACUGGUGAGCUUGAGUCCGGAAGAGGUGAGUGGAACUGCGAGUGUAGAGGUGAAAUUCGUAGAUAUUCGCAAGAACACCAGUGGCGAAGGCGGCUCACUGGACCGGUACUGACGCUGAGGUGCGAAAGCGUGGGGAGCAAACAGG
rnacentral:rRNA from 1 species